rnacentral:rRNA from 1 species
CUACGUGCCAGCAGCCGCGGUAAUACGUAGGUCCCGAGCGUUGUCCGGAUUUAUUGGGCGUAAAGCGAGCGCAGGCGGUUAGAUAAGUCUGAAGUUAAAGGCUGUGGCUUAACCAUAGUACGCUUUGGAAACUGUUUAACUUGAGUGCAAGAGGGGAGAGUGGAAUUCCUAGUGUAGCGGUGAAAUGCGUAGAGAUUAGGAGGAACACCAGUGGCGAAGGCGGCUUUUUGGCCUGUAACUGACACUGAGGCGCGAAAGCGUGGGGAGCAAACAGGAUUAGAUACCCUGGUAGUCCACGCCGUAAACGAUGAGUGCUAAGUGUUGGUCUCAUAAGAGAUCAGUGCUGCAGCUAACGCAUUAAGCACUCCGCCUGGGGAGUACGACCGCAAGGUUGAAACUCAAAUGAAUUGACGGGGGCCCGCACAAGCGGUGGAGCAUGUGGAUUAAUUCGAUGCAACGCGAAGAACCUUACCUACUCUUGACAUCCA